GCGCAUUCUUGGUUUGCAGAUAAGAAAAUCCCUCUGAAGGACAUGAAAAAUCUUGACAAGUGAACGAGUGAACUGAAUAAUGUGUUGCAACAUGUCAACUGAUCCAAGAACGGUACAGACAGGUUACUCGUCAAUGACAACAAAGGUUGGAGCCAUCAUGUGAUUCGCCGUCUGUCACAACAACCAUGACUUUUGUGGCCGUCGGGCGUCCUCCCGACUCAGCUGAGAAGGCAUACUGUCUGUGAUAAAACAUUGGGUUUAUCACUCAUCAACCCAUCAUGGAUGCAACCAGCACACACACUGUGAUGGAUAUGCCCAUCACUGAAUUAGAGCAAGCUGCUUCUGUAGUGCAUAAGGAAUGUAACUAAAGAAGCAGGAAAAAAAUAGGGCUGGAAGGACUGGGUGGUGUUUCUGAUAAAAAUGUAAACUUCAGGAAAAACAAUAUUUUUUUGUACAAAUAUUUCUAAAUGAAAAGGGGGCUGUAUCAGAACUGUUAAAGUUUUAUGACACCAGGAAUUGGCAUCAUCAAGCUCAUACAAAAAUGGAACUAAUAAUAGACUUCUCAAUACUUCUGCAAAUAUUGAUUCCAUUGAUAGCUGAACCUGUUCCUAAAGCAAAUUCUCCAGUUCAUGUGAUUCAGCAUGUAUUUUGGCCUAGAGUUCUGUACUUGAUAAAACUUCAAAACAGCAUCUUCUUGCUGAGAUGGACCUGGUUUAUACAUGUGUUCAGAGUCAUAAAGCAUUGGUUUAAAUUUUCCCUAUUUUUUCACACUCAUGCUGCUGCAGUGAUAAACUGACAACAGACAAGAGGUUUUUAUUUUCUCUGCAACCAACCAAAGCCUGAUCUGCAAACACAAAUGUUAUUGAGCCCACUGAAUCCCUGGAUAAACUUUGCUUCUUUCAGUGGUUUUGCAUGUUUCCUAAAACCUUGUCCACUCUGUUUGAUGCACUGUCAUGUUUAGAGAUCUGUGACAUAACAACUCUGCUGGGUGCCAGAAUUCCUUCAGAGUAGACUUCAACCCAAUAGUUAACAACAUGCUUUUCAGCAAUUCUAGUCUACGUAUUCCAGUGCCAGUCUGCAUGGGACACUGUAAAUGUACCUGAUGGAUUCUGCCUAGUGCUGGGAACCUACUCCAGAGGCCCUGGGUACAUGAACUUCCCAGCAGGAAUGAAGCUCAAGAUGUUCCCACUGCCAUGUGAGGAGCCCAACAUUGUAGGCUUCACAGCAGUUAUGAAGAAUUCCUGCUAACAGAAAGAUUAUGAUUAUAA